GUAUGGCCACGGUUGCUCACCGGCACGUCGAGAUCGUUUAGCAGCUGCCCCUCUUGCCACUUGCCGGCGCAUUUACCAGAGAAGGUUAAUGAAUGGGCACGGAUCGAUGGAGACGUAGAACGACAAAAAGAGGAGUUGCCAACAAAAUUAAAUUCCUGCAGGAUGGCGAACCACGUAGCCGUUAGGUGCUCUUCUUCCCAAGCGAUCGAGUAGAGGAGCAGCACAUGACCACAAAUCUUUUUAUGCAAAGGGGCUUUAAUUCCGAGAAAAAGGAAGAAGGGGAGGGAAUUCUGUGUGAAAGAUGCGCGCCUGGUUGCUGCUCUCGGCGUCACCUUUUCAUCCUCACGCUGCCAACCCCCUGCGAUUAUCUUCUCCUUCUUCUUGUUCUUUGCUGUGCUCAGUGCCCACAGUUCCAGCAAAUGCCAGGACGAGGAAGCCUCCUCGUCGGGGGGUCGUCCUUGCGUCGACCGCAACUCCAUCGAGAACUCAGAGAAUAAUGGAAACUAUUUCACUUGCUGGUCAAGGAGCAGGAGGCGCUGGAGGCAGUUAUUCAUAUGAUGCCUUGAAAAGGUUGGACAAGCUGUGGCUCAGUAUUUGUUCUUCAAAACCAGAAAAUUUCAAACCUAGUGAAGUUGUUAAGAGGCUUGAUGGUUCAUUCUGGUACUCCAAUGACGACAAGGAAAUAUCAGAUAAAUUUGACGUCUUAGUCUGUGGUGGUACUUUGGGGGUUUUCAUAGCUACUGCUUUGAGCCUUAGAGGUCUUAAAGUGGGAAUUGUUGAAAGAGACAUGGUGAAAGGGAGGGAGCAAGAGUGGAAUAUAUCUGAGAAAGAAUUACGGGAACUAGUUGAAGCUGGGAUUCUGUUAGAAAAUGAUAUAGAACAGGUCACUGUUGCAAAGUUUAAUCCAAACAGAUGUGGAUUUGAAGGAAAAGGUGAUAUUUGGGUUGAAGAUAUCCUUAAUCUCGGGGUUUCGCCUGCAAAACUAAUAGAAGUUGUGAAACAACGAUUUAUAAACUCUGGGGGAACCAUCUAUGAGGGCAGCAGCAUAUCUACCAUAUCUGUGUACGAUGAUUCUGUGCUUAUUAAUUUUUCAGAAGCAGAAUUCCUUUCUGCACGUCUUCUUGUUGAUGCCAUGGGGAAUUUUUCCCCAAUAGUGAAGCAGGUGCGUUCCGGAAAGAAACCAGAUGGUGUUUGUCUUGUAGUUGGAUCUUGCUCUCGUGGCUUCAAGAAUAACAAAACAAGCGAUGUUAUUUUCAGCAGCUCUUCCAUAAGAACAAUUGGCAAGUCAAAGUUGCAAUACUUUUGGGAGGCAUUUCCAGCUGGUUCUGGCCCUAGAGAUCGGACAACUUACAUGUUUACUUACCUUGAUCCAAAACCAGGAUGCCCUACUCUGGAGCAGCUACUUGAAGAUUACUGGGAUUUGAUGCCAACUUAUCAAGGAGAAGGUAUUGAGGAUAUUGAAAUAUUGAGAGUCAUUUUUGGGAUUUUUCCUACUUACCGGGACAGCAGUCCACUUCAAACACCAUUCAGUCGUAUAUUGCAGGUUGGUGAUGCUAGUGGCAUACAGUCUCCAGUCUCCUUUGGUGGUUUUGGUAGCAUUACUCGGAACCUCAACAGACUUGCAUCUGGUAUUUAUGAAGCAUUAGAUGGUGAUUUCUUGGAUGAGGCCAGUUUAUCACUGUUGAAUCCAUAUAUGCCAAAUUUGAGCUCAUCUUGGCUUUUUCAAAGAGCAAUGUCAGCACAGUCAGAUGCCAAUGUGUCGCCCGACUUCGUAAAUGAACUUCUCUAUGUCAAUUUCCAGUCGAUGAAGAAACUGGGGGAUCCAGUUCUUCGUCCAUUUCUGCAGGACGUGGUCCAGUUUUGGCCACUGGCAAAGACAUUAGGAACUAUUGUGCUUAGCCAACCACAAAUUCUUCCAUCUAUUUUCAAGCAGGUUGGGAUUCCAGUAAUUCUUGAUUGGUUAGUUCAUUUUACAUUCCUUGGUUACUAUACAUUUCUUUCAACUUCGCUGGACCCCAUUGUGAGGCCAUGGAUAGACAAACUUCCAAGCAAGCCAAGAUUUACAUGGCGAAGGCGACUAGAAGCUUGGAAGUAUGGCGCUGGUUUGGAUUACAAGCUGUAGGCAGACAAAAUGUAGAUGAUAAUAAGUACGAACUUGUCCAUCUGGUGCAGCAGGUAAAAAAAUUAUGGACAUCUACCUGUUUUCAUGCUUGGAGAUGAAGCUACAAGAGCAAAUCUGGUAGCUUGGUCUCAUCCACCCAUUCCUAACACCAUUAUAGCCAGCUACCAGUUCUCGUGCUUCGAGAUGAAGUUACAAGAGCAAACAUGGUAGGAUGGUCUCAUCCAGCCAUUUCGAACAUCAAUGGUGCAGCCUCCAGAUACAGCACCCAUGCUAAUGACGGCAACCAUCCAUGAUCAAAAGGGAUGAUGGGGAUCUCAGAUCUUGAGAAUAUGAUUUGCCAUACUAUGGAACUGCUCAUAUCUUUUCAAGGUGAACAGAGUACUUGUAAAUUCCUUAUUAGACAUUAAUGUUCCAACGUCCACCAGGUCUCUCAGGUGAAUGAUGAUUUGAAGAGUUUUCUGAAGGGGGUAGUCUGAAUAUUUGCAAGGUUCCCUGUCAUACGUGGAUGCUUAGAACUUCUGCUUCAUCAAGCCAUGAAAGCUUAAGAGUUUGUAUUCAAGUGCCACCAAAUUUAUGCAGCCUACAAAGCCAACUGUUUUUUUCAUGGACAAAAUGCAUCACCUAUCAUGCAAUAAUAUUUAUUCUCU